rnacentral:ncRNA from 1 species
UAGAGUAGAAUUCAUGCGUUAGAGUGUCUAAAGAUGGGACGUUGCUUUAGAACGAAUGUUUAUUACUGCGGUAUGAAUUUCUCGUCCGCUG